rnacentral:rRNA from 1 species
GGAGGCGAACCGGGGGAACUGAAACAUCUCAGUAUCCCGAGGAAAAUAAAUCAACCGAGAUUCCCCCAGUAGCGGCGAGCAGACGGGGAGCAGCCCAGAGUCAGCAUCAAUAUUUACCGCAGGAGAAGGGUCUAGAAAAACCGGCAAUAAAGGGUGAUAGCCCCGUAUCUGAAGCGGUAAGUGUUGUGAACUCGAAGAGUAGGGCAGGACACGUGUUAUCCUGUCUGAAUAUGGGGGACCAUCCUCCAAGGUUAAAUACUCCUGACUGACCAAUAGUGAACCAGUACCGCGAGGGAAAGGCGAAAAGAACCCCGGCAAGGGGAGUGAAAUAGAACCUGAAACCGUGUACGUACAAGCAGUGGGAGCACCCGAAAGGGUGUGACUGCGUACCUUUUGUAUAAUGGGUCAGCGACUUAUAUUCUGUAGCAAGGUUAACCGCAUAAGGGAACCGUAGGGAAACCGAGUCUUAACUGGGCGUUAAGUUGUAGGGUAUAGACCCGAAACCCGGUGAUCUAGCCAUGGGCAAGUUGAAG